rnacentral:rRNA from 1 species
GACGAACGCUGGCGGCGUGCUUAACACAUGCAAGUCGAACGAUGAAGCCGGAGCUUGCUCUGGUGAAUUAGUGGCGAACGGGUGAGUAACACGUGAGUAACCUGCCCUUGACUCUGGGAUAACUGCUAGAAAUGGUGGCUAAUACCGGAUACGACCCUCGGAGGCAUAUCCAGGGGGUGGAAAGAAUUUCGGUAAAGGAUGGACUCGCGGCCUAUCAGAUAGUUGGUGAGGUAACGGCUCACCAAGGGGACGACGGGUAGCCGGCCGGAGAGGGUGACCGGCCACCCUGGAACUGAGAAACGGCCCAGACUCCAACGGGAUGCAGCAGUGGGGGAUAUUGCAAAAUGGGCGCAAGCCUGAUGCAGCAACGCCGCGUGAGGGAUGACGGCCUUCGGGUUGUAAACCUCUUUUAGUAGGGAAGAAGCGAAAGUGACGGUACCUGCAGAAAAAGCACCGGCUAACUACGUGCCAGCAGCCGCCGUAA